UGCUCAGAGCACACAGCCUACCAGUCAAACAGCAAAACCAAAGGCAUGAGCAACUGGAUCAUUUAUCUUUCCUGGUGAUCACUACAGGCUGCCAAGAGCAGGGAAUGAAACAGAACUUGAAAAAACUUAAGAUCCAAACUGAAGAAGGUGGAACCUGAAAGCAAGUGAAGAAAUGCAGUCAUGGGGAAGAACAAGGGCCACUUAUUUCACCUGGAUCUUCAGCUACCUAGAAAGAAGCACAAGCCAAAUUGCCUAGGAAGUGUCAUGAACCAAAGGAAAAGCUCCAAAGUUUUCCACUG